UACGUAGGGUGCAAGCGUUGUCCGGAAUUAUUGGGCGUAAAGAGCUCGUAGGCGGUCUGUCGCGUCGGCUGUGAAAUCCCGAGGCUCAACCUCGGGUCUGCAGUCGAUACGGGCAAACUUGAGUGCUGCAGGGGAGACUGGAAUUCCUGGUGUAGCAGUGAAAUGCGUAGAUAUCAGGAGGAACACCGAUGGCGAAGGCAGGUCUCUGGGCUGACACUGACGCUCAUGCACGAAAACGUGGGGAGCAAACAGG
rnacentral:rRNA from 1 species